NAACUUUCAACAACGGAUCUCUUGGCUCUCGCAUCGAUGAAGAACGCAGCGAAAUGCGAUACGUAAUGUGAAUUGCAGAAUUCAGUGAAUCAUCGAAUCUUUGAACGCACCUUGCGCCCCUUGGCAUUCCGAGGGGCACACCCGUUUGAGUGUCGUGA
rnacentral:rRNA from 1 species